rnacentral:rRNA from 1 species
UACGAAGGGGGCUAGCGUUGUUCGGAAUUACUGGGCGUAAAGGGCGCGUAGGCGGCCUUGAUAGUUGGGCGUGAAAGGCCUGGGCUUAACCCGGGAACUGCGUUCAAUACUGCGAGGCUAGAGUGUGGGAGAGGUUGGUGGAAUUCCCAGUGUAGAGGUGAAAUUCGUAGAUAUUGGGAAGAACACCAGUGGCGAAGGCGACUCGCUGGACAGACAUUGACGCUGAGGUGCGAAAGCGUGGGGAGCAAACAGG